rnacentral:rRNA from 1 species
UUUUUAUUUAAUAUUGAAAAUUGUAUUUUUAUAUUAAAUUUUAUUGGGGUGAUAAAAAAAUUUAAGAAACUUUUUUUUAUAUAUUCAUUUAUUUAUGAUUUAUUAAUUUGAACGUUAAUUUAAAAAUUAAGAUUAAAA